AACGAACGCUGGCGGAGUGCUUAAGACAUGCAAGUCGUACGAGAACGUGACCUUCGGGUCGCUAGUAAAGUGGCGCACGGGUGAGUAACGCGUGGGUAAUCUGCCCUUUGGUCUGGGAUAACCCCGGGAAACCGGAGCUAAUACCGGAUAAGACCACGAUGACUUCGGUCGAUGUGGGAAAAGGUGGCCUCUUCUUGAAAGCUAUCGCCGAUGGAUGAGCCCGCGUCGCAUUAGCUUGUUGGUGGGGUAACGGCCUACCAAGGCUACGAUGCGUAGCUGGUCUGAGAGGAUGAUCAGCCACACUGGAACUGAGACACGGUCCAGACUCCUACGGGAGGCAGCAGUCGGGAAUAUUGGACAAUGGGGGAAACCCUGAUCCAGCAACUCCGCGUGAGGGAUGAAGGCCUUCGGGUCGUAAACCUCUGUCAGAAGGGAAGAAAACUGCAGGUCAAAUAGACUUGUAGCUUGACGGUACCUUCAAAGGAAGCACCGGCUAACUCCGUGCCAGCCGCCGCCGUAACAC
rnacentral:rRNA from 1 species